rnacentral:rRNA from 1 species
UACGAAGGGGGCUAGCGUUGCUCGGAAUCACUGGGCGUAAAGGGUGCGUAGGCGGGUCUUUAAGUCAGGGGUGAAAUCCUGGAGCUCAACUCCGGAACUGCCCUUGAUACUGAAGAUCUUGAGUUCGGGAGAGGUGAGUGGAACUGCGAGUGUAGAGGUGAAAUUCGUAGAUAUUCGCAAGAACACCAGUGGCGAAGGCGGCUCACUGGCCCGAUACUGACGCUGAGGCACGAAAGCGUGGGGAGCAAACAGG